rnacentral:lncRNA from 1 species
GCACUUAUUUGAGCAGGAAAGAUAAAGGAGCCGAUUACCCUUGAGAGGGAGGACCUGGUGCGGGCCGCACCCACGUGGAGACUGGAAGGGCGAGCCCCUCCUGGACAGCCCGUAUUAGGAUCUCCUGGUCUGAGCUGAUGAUUGCCAUCCUCCAGGCAUAAUCUGUGCCGAGAGGCUCGCCAUCGUGCAGUGCUAUGCAUUGCCAGAGCACGUGAGUAUCGUGAGUGAAGCGUCUACUGUCGGAUCAACACACUCCAGGGUCUCUUUCUUCUCGA